rnacentral:rRNA from 1 species
GAUGAACGCUGGCGGCGUGCAUAACACAUUCAAGUCGAACGAGGUAGCAAUACCUAGUGGCGGACGGGUGAGUAACGCGUGAGCAACCUGCCCUUGUGUGGGGGAUACCGUCUGGAAACGGACGUUAAUACCGCAUAACGUUACGGAAUCGCAUGGUUCUGUAACCAAAGAUUUAUUGCGCAAGGAUGGGCUCGCGUUGGAUUAGAUAGUUGGUGAGGUAACGGCCCACCAAGUCUGCGAUCCAUAGCCGGACUGAGAGGUUGAACGGCCACAUUGGAACUGAGAUACGGUCCAGACUCCUACGGGAGGCAGCAGUGGGGAAUAUUGGGCAAUGGGCGAAAGCCUGACCCAGCGACGCCGCGUGAAGGAAGAAGGUCUUCGGAUUGUAAACUUCUUUUAUUAAGGACGAAAUUUGACGGUACUUAAUGAAUAAGCUCCGGCUAACUACGUG